GGGGUCCUGGCGGUCGACGAUUCCUACGGGAGGCAGCAGUAAGGAAUAUUGGACAAUGGACGAAAGUCUGAUCCAGCCAUGCCGCGUGCAGGAUGACAGCCCUACGGGUUGUAAACUGCUUUUAUACAGGAAGAAACACUCCGACGUGUCGGAGCUUGACGGUACUGUAAGAAUAAGGAUCGGCUAACUCCGUGCCAGCAGCCGCGGUAAUACGGAGGAUCCAAGCGUUAUCCGGAAUCAUUGGGUUUAAAGGGUCCGCAGGCUGUUUUUUAAGUCAGAGGUGAAAUCCUGCAGCUCAACUGUAGAACUGCCUUUGAUACUGGAAAACUUGAGUUAUUGUGAAGUGGUUAGAAUGUGUGGUGUAGCGGUGAAAUGCAUAGAUAUCACACAGAAUACCGAUUGCGAAGGCAGAUCACUAACAAUAUACUGACGCUCAUGGACGAAAGCGUGGGGAGCGAACAGGAUUAGAUACCCUGGUAGUCCACGCCGUAAACGAUGGAUACUAGCUGUUCGUCUAACAUUGGUUAGAUGAGUGGCUAAGCGAAAGUGAUAAGUAUCCCACCUGGGGAGUACGGUCGCAAGACUGAAACUCAAAGGAAUUGACGG
rnacentral:rRNA from 1 species